rnacentral:rRNA from 1 species
UCGGGAAUUUUGGGCAAUGGGGGAAACCCUGACCCAGCAACGCCGCGUGAAGGAUGAAGUAUUUCGGUAUGUAAACUUCGAAAGAAUAGGAAGAAUAAAUGACGGUACUAUUUAUAAGGUCCGGCUAACUACGUGCCAGCAGCCGCGGUAAUACGUAGGGACCAAGCGUUGUUCGGAUUUACUGGGCGUAAAGGGCGCGUAGGCGGCAUGACAAGUCACUUGUGAAAUCUCUGGGCUUAACCCAGAACGGCCAAGUGAUACUGUCGCGCUAGAGUGCAGAAGGGGCAAUCGGAAUUCUUGGUGUAGCGGUGAAAUGCGUAGAUAUCGGAAGGAACACCAGUGGCGAAGGCGGCUUCCUGGUCCAACACUGACGCUGAGGCGCGAAAGCGUGGGGAGCAAACAGGAUUAGAUACCCCCGUAGUCCCUGAGCGGGCUGGCAAGGCGCAU